GCGUUAGCGAUGGAAGUUUGAGGCAUAACAAGUCUGUGAGGCCUUGAGGUCGGGACGCACGCGCGCUACACUGAUGAAGUCAUCGAGUACUUUCCUUUACCGGAAAUAUAGGUGAUCUUUUGAGACUUCAUCGUGAUGGGGAUAGAGCAUUGCAACUAUUGCUCUUCAACGAGGAAUCCCUAGUGAGCAUGAGUCAUCAGCUCGUGCUGAUUACGUCCCUGCCCUUCGUACACACCGCCCGUCGCUACUACCGAUUGUAUGGCUUAGUGAGACCCUCGGAUCGACGAGUGGAAACCUUCACGGGUAUCUAUUUGUUGAGAAGUUGGUCAAACUUGGUCAUUUAGAGGAAGUAAAAGUCGUAACCAAGGUUUCCGUAGGUGAACCUGCGGAAAGGAACCAUUA
rnacentral:rRNA from 1 species